rnacentral:rRNA from 1 species
UUGGAGGGCAAGUCUGGUGCCAGCAGCCGCGGUAAUUCCAGCUCCAAUAGCGUAUAUUAAAGUUGUUGCAGUUAAAAAGCUCGUAGUUGAAUUUCGGGAUCAAUACGUCGGUCGUGCCUUCGGUACGUACUGGUCUUGCUGAUUCCUCCCUCUUGACGAACCGUAAUGCCAUUAAUUUGGUGUUGCGGGGAAUCAGGACUGUUACUUUGAAAAAAUUAAAGUGUUUAAAGCAGG